rnacentral:rRNA from 1 species
UACAGAGGUCCCAAGCGUUGCUCGGAAUCACUGGGCGUAAAGGGUGCGUAGGCGGGUCUUUAAGUCAGAGGUGAAAUCCUGGAGCUCAACUCCAGAACUGCCUUUGAUACUGAGGAUCUUGAGUUCGGGAGAGGUGAGUGGAACUGCGAGUGUAGAGGUGAAAUUCGUAGAUAUUCGCAAGAACACCAGUGGCGAAGGCGGCUCACUGGCCCGAUACUGACGCUGAGGCGCGAAAGCGUGGGGAGCGAACAGG